rnacentral:rRNA from 1 species
AAUGAACGCUGGCGGCGCGCCUAAUACAUGCAAGUCGAGCGAGAAGACGUAGCAAUACGUUUGUAAAGCGGCGAACGGGUGAGGAAUACAUGGGUAACCUACCCUCGAGUGGGGAAUAACUAGCCGAAAGGUUAGCUAAUACCGCGUACGCUCCUUGGACUUCGGUUCAGGGAGGAAAGCGAUACCGUGGGUACCGCGCUCUUGGUUGGGCUCAUGUCCUAUCAGCUUGUUGGUGAGGAACGGCUCACCAAGGCUUCGACGGGUAGCUGGUCUGAGAGGACGAUCAGCCACACUGGCACUGCGACACGGGCCAGACUCCUACGGGAGGCAGCAGUAAGGAAUAUUGCGCAAUGGGCGAAAGCCUGACGCAGCGACGCCGCGUGGGGGAUGAAGGUC